UACAGAGGGUGCGAGCGUUGUCCGGAAUCACUGGGCGUAAAGGGCGCGUAGGUGGUUGGGUAAGCGUGUGGUGAAAGCCCGGGGCUCAACCCCGGGUCGGCCAUGCGAACUGCCCGACUAGAGCACGGUAGAGGCCAAUGGAAUUCCGGGUGUAGCGGUGGAAUGCGUAGAGAUCCGGAAGAACACCGGUGGCGAAGGCGGUUGGCUGGGCCGUGGCUGGCACUGAUGCGCGACAGCGUGGGGAGCAAACAGG
rnacentral:rRNA from 1 species